rnacentral:rRNA from 1 species
GGCCAGACUCCUACGGGAGGCAGCAGUGGGGAAUAUUGGGCAAUGGGCGCAAGCCUGACCCAGCAACGCCGCGUGAAGGAAGAAGGCUUUCGGGUUGCAAACUUCUUUUGACAGGGAAGAGCAGAAGACGGUACCUGUCGAAUAAGCCACGGCUAACUACGUGCCAGCAGCCGCGGUAAUACGUAGGUGGCAAGCGUUGUCCGGAUUUACUAGGUGUAAAGGGCGUGUAGCCGGGCUGACAAGUCAGAUGUGAAAUCCGGGGGCUCAACCCCCGAACUGCAUUUGAAACUGUUGGUCUUGAGUAUCGGAGAGGCAGGCGGAAUUCCUAGUGUAGCGGUGAAAUGCGUAGAUAUUAGGAGGAACACCAGUGGCGAAGGCGGCCUGCUGGACGACAACUGACGGUGAGGCGCGAAAGCGUGGGGAGCAAACAGGAUUAGAUACCCCCGUA